rnacentral:rRNA from 1 species
AACGAACGCUGGCGGCAUGCCUCAUACAUGCAAGUCGAACGAGGUCUUCGGACCUAGUGGCGCACGGGUGAGUAACAUGUGGGAAUCUACCUGAAGGUUCGGAAUAACUGCGGGAAACUGUAGCUAAUACCGGAUGUGUCUGAAAAGAGAAAGAUUUAUCGCCUUCAGAUGAGCCCGCACUAGAUUAGCUAGUUGGUGAGGUAAUUGCUCCACCAAGGCUACGAUCUAUAGCUGAUUUGAGAGGAUGAUCAGCCACACUGGGACUGAGACACGGCCCAGACUCCUACGGGAGGCAGCAGUAGGGAAUAUUGGACAAUGGGGGAAACCCUGAUCCAGCAAUGCCGCGUGAGUGAAGAAGGCCUUCGGGUUGUAAAGCUCUUUCAUCAAUGAUGAUAAUGACAUUAGUUGAAGAAGAAGCCCCGGCUAACUUCGUGCCAGCAGCCGCGGUAAUACGAAGGGGGCUAGCGUUGUUCGGAAUCACUGGGCGUAAAGCGUAUGUAGGCGGAUCAAAAAGUUAGAUGUGAAAUCCCUGGGCUCAACCCAGGAACUGCAUUUAAAACUAGUGAUCUAGAAUUUGGUAGGGGCCAGUAGAAUUUCCAGUGUAGAGGUGAAAUUCGUAGAUAUUGGAAAGAAUACCAGUGGCGAAGGCGACUGGCUGGGCCAUUUUUGACGCUGAGAUACGAAAGCGUGGGUAGCAAACAGGAUUAGAUACCCUGGUAGUCCACGCAGUAAACGAUGAGUGAUAGUCGCUGGGACAAUAGUUUCAGUGUCGAAGCUAACGCAUUAAGCACUCCGCGUGGGAAGUACGGUCGCAAGAUUAAAACUCAAAUAAAUUGACGGGGGCCCGCACAAGCGGUGGAGCAUGUGGUUUAAUUUGAAGCAACGCGAAGAACCUUACCAGACCUUGACAUGGUAUGUUUGAAUUACAGAAUCGUAAUUCUUCAGUUCGGCUGGCAUACACACAGGUGCUGCAUGGCUGUCGUCAGCUCGUGUCGUGAGAUGUUGGGUUAAGUCCCGCAACGAGCGCAACCCUCAUUUUUAGUUGCCAUCAGGUCAAGCUGGGCACUCUAAAAAAACUGCCGGUGAUAAGCUGGAGGAAGGCGGGGAUGACGUCAAGUCCUCAUGGCCCUUACGGUAUGGGCUACACACGUGCUACAAUGGUGGUGACAGUGGGCAGCGAUACUGCAAAGUAAAGCUAAAUCCCAAAAAAACCAUCUCAGUUCGGAUUGGACUCUGCAACUCGAGUCCAUGAAAGUUGGAAUCGCUAGUAAUCGUAGAUCAGCGUGCUACGGUGAAUACGUUCUCGGGCCU